rnacentral:rRNA from 1 species
AGCGAACGCUGGCGGCAGGCUUAACACAUGCAAGUCGAGCGGGCCCUUCGGGGUCAGCGGCAGAAGGGUGAGUAACACGUGGGAACGUACCCGUUGGUUCGGAAUAACGCAGGGAAACUAGAGCUAAGACAGGUUACGCCCUUAUGGGGAAAGGCUUGCUGCCGAAGGAUCGGCGCGCGUCUGAUUAUCUAGUUGGGGGGGGAAUGGCCUACCUAGGCGUCGAGCAGUAGCUGGUCUGGGAGGAUGAUCAGCCACGCUGGGGCUGAGACCCGGCCCCGAACCCUACGGGACGCUGCAGUGGGGUAUAUUGGACGAUGGGCGCAAGCCUGGUCCAGCCGUGCCGCGUGAGUGAUCCAGGGCUUAGGGUUGUAAAGCUCUUUUGUCCGGGACGUUAAUGACGGUACCUGAAGAAUAAGCCCCGGCUAACUUCGUG